CAGUUCCCCAGGACAGGGAUGCAGGCCUGGCUGGCACAGAGAUCCCGGCUCUUUCCUUCCUACACUGCUCCAUCCCAGCCUCUCCCAGCCACAUCCACCCUCCCUGCAGGGGCUUCCCGGGGAGAGUGGGACAAAAGGAGCAGAAGGAGGUCAGGGCCCUGCACGAGAAGAGAAGGACGGGGAGGGACUUCCUCGAGAGAGGGAUAUUCCCACAGGCUCCACCAGCUGCAGCGGUGUGUCCUUCCCAGAGUCCCGCUGAACAUCCCACUGAGCCCUCCUGGGAGUCCAAGGUGUCUGAUGGACAACAGGGAUCCAAACCAUCCUGGGAUGAAAGUACAAAACCAUCUCACAAGAUUGCCUGGUGCAGGGAUCGUGUGAGCUGUAGGUGUUGAGAUAAAAAGCUGCUCCACAUCUCCACAUCUUGCCAAGUUUUAUUAGUUUAUGGGCCCUUCUGUGCUGCAGAGCUCUCCUGCCUCUGCCCCUGCUCCUCCUUCCCUCGUGGCACCACUGGAUCCAGCCAUCCCCUGGUGUCCCACCUGUGUCCCGGACGGGCUGUCGGACAUCACAUCACACCCUAAGCUCGCUGCUCAGCUAGAGAAAAACCCCAUGGCUGGAGCCAGUCCAGCCCGGGCUGUCCUCCCCCUCCCUCCCCGGAGCAGAGGCCAGAGCAGUCAGGGUGGGCAUGGCCCAGGCUGGGACCCCCCUGCCAGCAGCACGAGCCAGCUCUUUGUGUCCCA